GACGAACGCUGGCGGCGUGCUUAACACAUGCGAGUCGAACGGAAAGGCCCUGCUUUUGUGGGGUGCUCGAGUGGCGAACGGGUGAGUAACACGUGAGUAACCUGCCCUUGACUUUGGGAUAUCUUCAGGAAACUGGGGCUAAUACCGGAUAGGAGCUCCUGCUGCAUGGUGGGGGUUGGAAAGUUUCGGCGGUUGGGGAUGGACUCGCGGCUUAUCAGCUUGUUGGUGGGGUAGUGGCUUACCAAGGCUUUGACGGGUAGCCGGCCUGAGAGGGUGACCGGCCACAUUGGGACUGAGAUACGGCCCAGACUCCUACGGGAGGCAGCAGUGGGGAAUAUUGCACAAUGGGCGGAAGCCUGAUGCAGCAACGCCGCGUGCGGGAUGACGGCCUUCGGGUUGUAAACCGCUUUCGCCUGUGACGAAGCGUGAGUGACGGUAAUGGGUAAAGAAGCACCGGCUAACUACGUG
rnacentral:rRNA from 1 species